AGUGCGUGUGACGCCAUGGAGCUGAAGCUGCUGCUGAGGAUGGAGAGACGCGCUCCAGCGGAGCAGCUCGCGGGGGAGGAGCGUGCGCGCGUGGCCGUGGAGACCAACACGUGACUGACGGAGCCGCUCCUGCUGGAAUCAACAUUGCCCUCUACAUUAGCUUGGGAGGAGGGAGGAGCUUUGUGUGUUUCAUGUGAGUUCAGGAAGAGAUUGGGAGAUGAUGACAGUGUAUGCUUUGGGUCCACAUGUUUCCUGGCCUGGUCACUUCUACUGGGAUUCUCUGCCUGCUAAACCGCCUCCACUCCCACUAACCAAUGCUUCCUGGAGGGCACUGCACACUAAAUUAACGCGUGGAAAGCUGGAACCAGAUAACAGUUUCCAUUUUUCUGUGGCUUUGUUUUUCAAGCUUUAUAUGAGUUUAUUGCUUUGAACUCUGGCCCAGGCUAAGACAAAAAGAGUGUAUGUGUUGGGGGAGGGGCACAGGAGGAGGAAAGAAUAAGGGAAGGAAAUGUUUGAUGAGUGAAAUAUGAUAUACUGUAAGAUAUAUUUAUCGGUCUUAAAUUAAAAAAAUAUUAGGUGAGUGACGUCUGUUUGAUUUAAAAACGGGAAUAACACGGAAAAUAAAGAGGACCUCUCUGAUUACUUAUUUAAAAACAGACAGAAAUAUUUUUGCCACAAAGUCAUAGUCAACAGUUAUAAAGGUUAUAUAAUAAAGGUUUAUUUGAACUUUCUAAAAUUAAAUAUAAAACCAUUCAUUCCUGGAAUCAGGGAUAAAUAUAAGCUCUGGUCAGAUAACAUCAGCACUGCACAGAUGUUAUGAAAUUUAUUGUACGCGGGACAAAGACAUUUCAUGUUUUGAAGACUUCAACUCUUACAAUAAAACCCUCUAUUGUCAUGUUUUCCUUUCUGAAGGAGAA